GGGUUGUGAGGUUAAGCGACUAAGCGUACACGGUGGAUGCCUAGGCAGUCAGAGGCGAUGAAGGGCGUGCUAAUCUGCGAUAAGCG
rnacentral:rRNA from 1 species